UACAGGGGGUGCAAGCGUUAAUCGGAUUUACUGGGCGUAAAGCGCGCGUAGGCGGCUAAUUAAGUCAAAUGUGAAAUCCCCGAGCUUAACUUGGGAAUUGCAUUCGAUACUGGUUAGCUAGAGUGUGGGAGAGGAUGGUAGAAUUCCAGGUGUAGCGGUGAAAUGCGUAGAGAUCUGGAGGAAUACCGAUGGCGAAGGCAGCCAUCUGGCCUAACACUGACGCUGAGGUGCGAAAGCAUGGGGAGCAAACAGG
rnacentral:rRNA from 1 species